rnacentral:sRNA from 1 species
AUGUACCCCUAUACACGCCGAUUCCUCCGCGCCUUCCGCACCCACCUGAGGACUGCGCGCUACGUUUUGUUGGCC